AACGAACGCUGGCGGCAGGCCUAACACAUGCAAGUCGAGCGAGGACUUCGGUUCUAGCGGCGGACGGGUGAGUAACGCGUGGGAAUGUGCCCUUCUCUACGGAAUAGCUCUGGGAAACUGGGAGUAAUACCGUAUACGCCCUAUUGGGGAAAGAUUUAUCGGAGAAGGAUCAGCCCGCGUUGGAUUAGGUAGUUGGUGGGGUAAUGGCCUACCAAGCCGGCGAUCCAUAGCUGGUUUGAGUGGAUGGUCAGCCACACUGGGACUGAGACACGGCCCAGACCCCUACGGAUGGCAGAAGGGGGGAUGCAGAGACAAUGCGUGCAACCCUAAGCUAUCCGGGCCGUGUAAGUCAUGAAGGCCUGAGGGAUGUAAAGCUCUGUCAGCAGGGAAGUUAAUGACGGUACCAGCAGAAGAAGCCCCGGCAAACUCCGU
rnacentral:rRNA from 1 species